rnacentral:rRNA from 1 species
AUUGAACGCUGGCGGCAGGCCUAACACAUGCAAGUCGAGCGGAUGAAGGGAGCUUGCUCCUGGAUUCAGCGGCGGACGGGUGAGUAAUGCCUAGGAAUCUGCCUGGUAGUGGGGGAUAACGUCCGGAAACGGGCGCUAAUACCGCAUACGUCCUGAGGGAGAAAGUGGGGGAUCUUCGGACCUCACGCUAUCAGAUGAGCCUAGGUCGGAUUAGCUAGUUGGUGGGGUAAAGGCCUACCAAGGCGACGAUCCGUAACUGGUCUGAGAGGAUGAUCAGUCACACUGGAACUGGGACACGGUCCAGACUCCUACGGGAGGCAGCAGUGGGGAAUAUUGGACAAUGGGCGAAAGCCUGAUCCAGCCAUGCCGCGUGUGUAAAGAAGGUCUUCGGAUUGUAAAGCACUUUAAGUUGGGAGGAAGGGCAGUAAGUUAAUACCUUGCUGUUUUGACGUUACCAACAGAAUAAGCACCGGCUAACUUCGUG